GGAAAACUAGUUUAAAAAAAACUUUAGCCUGUCUAGCUUAGGAUAUUCAAAUAGAGUGUUUUCUU
rnacentral:tRNA from 1 species